rnacentral:rRNA from 1 species
AUUGAACGCUGGCGGCAGGCCUAACACAUGCAAGUCGAACGAGUGGCGGACGGGUGAGUAAUGUCUGGGAAACUGCCCGAUGGAGGGGGAUAACUACUGGAAACGGUAGCUAAUACCGCAUACCAUCGGAUGUGCCCAGAUGGGAUUAGCUAGUAGGUGGGGUAACGGCUCACCUAGGCGACGAUCCGUAGCUGGUUUGAGAGGACGACCAGUCAGAACUGGACCGAGAAACGGCCCCGAAUCCCUCGGGAGGCAAGAGUGGGGAAUUUUGGACAAUUGGGGAAACCCUGAUCCAGCCAUCCCGGGUUGGGGAUGAAGGCCUUCGGGUUUGAAAAGACUUUUGGCAGGAAAGCGGUACCUGCAGAAUAAGCCCCGGCUAACUACGUGCCAGCAGCCGCGGUAAUAC